rnacentral:lncRNA from 1 species
AUAAAGCAAAGUGAUGGUCUAAGAUGAAGCUCUUUGUCUGUUCACUUACAAGUCCAGCAUUGAUGUGGUAUGCAAACAAAGGCCCUAGCGACUGGGUUUCUUGGAAUCCUUUGACAACUGGUUUUAUUAGGCAGUUUGACAAUAAGCUUAAAAGAAAGCUCACAGUAGAGGCAAAUUUGGUUAGGCCACAAUCCAAGAAUAAGGGAAAGAAAAUUAUCGAGGAGGCAUUCAAACCUUCAAAGCCUGAAAUAAGCGCACCUCAACC